AAAACUUUCAACAACGGAUCUCUUGGUUCUGGCAUCGAUGAAGAACGCAGCGAAAUGCGAUAAGUAAUGUGAAUUGCAGAAUUCAGUGAAUCAUCGAAUCUUUGAACGCACAUUGCGCCCGUCAGUAUUCUGGCGGGCAUGCCUGUUCGAGCGUCAUU
rnacentral:rRNA from 2 species